rnacentral:rRNA from 1 species
AUGGCUUUAGGGACGGACCUCCGUCCAAAUAGUUACUGGCAAUAUUUCUCCUGGUGCCACACUUUCCUUCCCUAUGGGAAGAAAUACUAUACUGUUGGCCUGGCGGCCGUUUGCUGGGCUAUCUGGUUAGCUAGAAAUCAAGCCACCUUUGAGAAGAAACAGAUUAAGACACCGUUUGAGAUUGUGUUUUCCGUGUGCUCCUUUUUGCUAUAUUGGGCAGGUCUUCAGCAAGGUGAUGGAGUCAAGGAGCUGCGCAGUGGGGCGGCGAUGGUCAGGUCAAGCACUAUGAGCAUGAUGAAGAUGUGCGAGGCGGCGAGGAGACCGAUCGAGGGAGAAUGA